UGAAGAGUUUGAUCAUGGCUCAGAUUGAACGCUGGCGGCAGGCCUAACACAUGCAAGUCGAACGGUAACAGGAAGCAGCUUGCUGCUUUGCUGACGAGUGGCGGACGGGUGAGUAAUGUCUGGGAAACUGCCUGAUGGAGGGGGAUAACUACUGGAAACGGUGGCUAAUACCGCAUAACGUCGCAAGACCAAAGAGGGGGACCUUCGGGCCUCUUGCCAUCAGAUGUGCCCAGAUGGGAUUAGCUUGUUGGUGAGGUAACGGCUCACCAAGGCGACGAUCCCUAGCUGGUCUGAGAGGAUGACCAGCCACACUGGAACUGAGACACGGUCCAGACUCCUACGGGAGGCAGCAGUGGGGAAUAUUGCACAAUGGGCGCAAGCCUGAUGCAGCCAUGCCGCGUGUAUGAAGAAGGCCUUCGGGUUGUAAAGUACUUUCAGCGGGGAGGAAGGUGUUGUGGUUAAUAACCGCAGCAAUUGACGUUACCCGCAGAAGAAGCACCGGCUAACUCCGUGCCAGCAGCCGCGGUAAUACGGAGGGUGCAAGCGUUAAUCGGAAUUACUGGGCGUAAAGCGCACGCAGGCGGUCUGUCAAGUCGGAUGUGAAAUCCCCGGGCUCAACCUGGGAACUGCAUUCGAAACUGGCAGGCUUGAGUCUUGUAGAGGGGGGUAGAAUUCCAGGUGUAGCGGUGAAAUGCGUAGAGAUCUGGAGGAAUACCGGUGGCGAAGGCGGCCCCCUGGACAAAGACUGACGCUCAGGUGCGAAAGCGUGGGGAGCAAACAGGAUUAGAUACCCUGGUAGUCCACGCCGUAAACGAUGUCUACUUGGAGGUUGUGCCCUUGAGGCGUGGCUUCCGGAGCUAACGCGUUAAGUAGACCGCCUGGGGAGUACGGCCGCAAGGUUAAAACUCAAAUGAAUUGACGGGGGCCCGCACAAGCGGUGGAGCAUGUGGUUUAAUUCGAUGCAACGCGAAGAACCUUACCUGGUCUUGACAUCCACAGAACUUUCCAGAGAUGGAUUGGUGCCUUCGGGAACUGUGAGAC
rnacentral:rRNA from 1 species